CUGCUCAAUGAAUAAAUUUUAAAUAGCUGCAGUAUAAAUAACUGUACAAAGGUAGCAUAAUAAUUUGUUUUUUAAUUAAAAACUAGAAUGAAUGAUUUUAUGAAAUAUAAACUGUCUCAAAUUUAAAUAAUAAAUUUAUUAUUUAAAUAAAAAAAUUUAAAUAAAUUUUAAAGACGAGAAGACCCUAUAGAAUUUUAAUAAUAAAUUAUAAAUUUAUUAUAAUUUUAUUAUUUUAAUUGGGGAAAUUUUAAAAUUUUAAAAAUUUUUAAUUUAAAAAACAUAAAUUUUUGAAUAUUUAAUAUUUUUUAAAAAAAUAAAAUAAAUUACCUUAGGGAUAACAGCAUAAYUUUUUUAAAAAG
rnacentral:rRNA from 1 species